rnacentral:rRNA from 1 species
UACGGGGGGGGCAAGCGUUGUUCGGAAUUACUGGGCGUAAAGGGUUCGUAGGUGGCCCGCUAAGUCACACGUGAAAUCCCUCAGCUUAACUGGGGAACUGCGUGUGAGACUGGCAGGCUUGAGUGCAGGAGAGGAACGCGGAAUUCCAGGUGUAGCGGUGAAAUGCGUAGAUAUCUGGAGGAACACCGGUGGCGAAGGCGGCGUUCUGGACUGUAUCGACACUGAGGAACGAAAGCCAGGGGAGCAA